rnacentral:piRNA from 1 species
UGGAAAAACUGUUGGGAAAACUUAAAGCUUC